GAUGAACGCUGGCGGCGUGCCUAAUACAUGCAAGUCGAGCGAACAGACGAGGAGCUUGCUCCUCUGACGUUAGCGGCGGACGGGUGAGUAACACGUGGAUAACCUACCUAUAAGACUGGGAUAACUUCGGGAAACCGGAGCUAAUACCGGAUAAUAUAUUGAACCGCAUGGUUCAAUAGUGAAAGACGGUUUUGCUGUCACUUAUAGAUGGAUCCGCGCCGCAUUAGCUAGUUGGUAAGGUAACGGCUUACCAAGGCGACGAUGCGUAGCCGACCUGAGAGGGUGGUCGGCCACACUGGAACUGAGACACGGUCCAGACUCCUACGGGGGGCAGCAGUAGGGAAUCUUCCGCAAUGGGCGAAAGCCUGACGGAGCAACGCCGCGUGAGUGAUGAAGGUCUUCGGAUCGUAAAACUCUGUUAUUAGGGAAGAACAAAUGUGUAAGUAACUAUGCACGUCUUGACGGUACCUAAUCAGAAAGCCACGGCUAACUACGUG
rnacentral:rRNA from 1 species